rnacentral:rRNA from 1 species
GCUUAUGACCAAAUCACCCGGAAUGUGCUUGGAUAUCGUCAGAUCUCGGACGCUAAGCACCGUUGAGGCUGGUUAGUGCUUGGAUGGGCGACCACCCAUGCACAGCUGAUUGCUGCGGAGCU